GUUUGAUCCUGGCUCAGGAUGAACGCUAGCGAUAUGCUUAACACAUGCUAGUUGUACGAAAAAUAAAAUUUUAGUGGCAAACGGGUGAGUAAUACGUAAGAAUUUGCCUUUAGGAAGAGGAUAACUUUUAGAAAUAAUUGCUAAAACUCUAUAAUACAAAUAAGUUUUUAUUUGUUAAAAAAGAAAUUUACCUAAAGAGAAGCUUACGCUUGAUUAGCUAGUUGGUGGGGUAAAGGCCUACCAAGGCGAUGAUCAAUAGCUGGUCUGAGAGGACGAUCAGCCACACUGAAACUGAGACACGGUUCAGACUCCUACGGGAGGCAGCAGUGAGGAAUAUUCUGCAAUGGGCGAAAGCCUGACAGAGCAAUAUCGCGUGAAGGAUGAAGGCCUUUUUGGUUGUAAACUUCUUUUUUCAAGGAAGAAGAUCUGACGUUACUUGAAGAAUAAGCAUCGGCUAACUCUGUGCCAGCAGCCGCGGUAAGACAGAGGAUGCAAGUGUUAUCCGGAAUUAUUGGGCGUAAAGCGUUUGUAGGUGGAUAUCUAAGUCUUAUGUUAAAUAUCUAAAUUUAAUUUAGAAAAUGCAUAAGAAACUAUAUAUCUUGAGUAUUAUAGAGGUAAAGGGAAUUUUCAGUGUAGCGGUGAAAUGCGUAGAUAUUGAAAAGAACACCAAUGGCGAAAGCACUUUACUAGAUUAAUACUGACACUGAGAAACGAAAGCUAGGGGAGUAAAUAGGAUUAGAUACCCUAGUAGUCCUAGCUGUAAACGAUGGAUACUAGACGUUGUGAUAUUUUAUUAUAUUGCAGUGUCGUAGCUAACGCAUUAAGUAUCCCGCCUGGGUAGUAUGCUCGCAAGAGUGAAACUCAAAGGAAUAGACG
rnacentral:rRNA from 1 species